GUCACUAAUCUCUGACAGCACUUCCUGGAGUGGGGUUUGUUGUGGGAAACACCGACGCCGUGUUGGCCGACACGGGCUUCCUCAACGCCACGGCAGCAGCAGCAGCAGCACGCCAAAGGCACCCAACACACAGAGAUUCACCCUUGAGGGAUGUCGCCGUUUUCCAACGGUACCACAUAGACGCCACCGAUCACGGAGGAGCGGAACGCGAGGAUAGAUCCGUCCCCGGGAAGCCCAGAGAGCUGCAGACAGCCUGUGCUGUCGCAAUGUUGUGAGCCAUGGACAGCAGAAUAAAAGAGAACCCUGAACGAACCUUUGAUUUAGUUCUACAGGUGGCCUGCCCCAAAUCUGCAAAUGAAGUCGCUCCUGUCCUAUGCUGCCAUCGGAGGCCACUGCUUAAAGAGUGUCACUUGGUUAAUAUUGAGCCGACUGAUGAAGUUGUUGGCUGAAUGGGUGUGUCUCCGGAUUAAGAAUGAAGGUGCGGUCGCGGCUGGCCAUGGCUGUGCUCAUGCUGCCUAUUGUCCUUCUGAUUACCUUAAUAACAGGAUGGCUCAGCAGUUAUGAUUCACCAGUACACAACGUAGAGGAUAUUGGUUUGAUCUGCCUUGAUCCCCAGGAUAAAUUUUGCCUUUGGUAUUUCAACAGUGUUCAAAUAAAAUAAUCCAUUCCCAACACCAUGUCCCGUAAAAUAACAUUUCAGAAAAAUAUUCAUUAUUAAAUUAUUAUUAUUAUUAGUUUUUUGAAGCAAGCAAGUUUGUCUCUGUUCUGCAGACCAACAGUCUGUACUAGACUAUGAUUUGAAGAUUAAAAUCUUUCAACAUCAGAUAUCAGACCUAUAUUUUCCCCCUUCAAAGACUCUGAAACCAUAUGGCUAUGUGGUUUAUUCUUUAGUUGAAUACCCGUGCAGGUUUCUGUCGUAUACGCGCACACACACACACACACACACACACACACACACACACACACACACACACACACACACACACACACACACACACACACACACACACACACACACACACACACACACACACACACACACACACACACACACACACACACACACACGACUCUCUAAAUCAAGGUCUGUGUGAACGUGUUUGGGUACAGGCUGAUGUUUCAUCCUCUUAGCAGAUACACUGCGUUCGCAUCCCUGUGGAAGAGGACUGACUGGCUGAUUGACUGGCUGACUGACUGACUGACUGACAGACCGACAGAGAGCCUGGCUGUCUGUCUGUCAGCCUCCGCAUGUGAACUUCAAAUCACAGCUCUGUGGCGCGGCGUGUAGCUGCCUGUAGCGCGGCUUUACUCUGUCAUCAGCGGGGUGCGGGUGCCUCCGGGUGCCGUGCCGCGUGACGUUGACUGAGAUCGAUCUCCCAGGCACCGUGUUAUACACGCCGUCGUCACGGCUACCGGUGCCGCCGCCGCCGCCGCCGCAACGCCCACUGCACAGAGAGAGAGCGGCGAAAAGGGAGAGAUUUGAUUCGAGAGGUUUUGAAACGGGAUGGGAGAUGACCCCCCCCCCCCCCCCACCCCACCCGGUGAAGUGGGAACACUGGUGGUGUCGGAUUCAACCAAUUAGGGUUUGAUCGCACCGUCAAUACGUGUGGGUGGGCGGCCACGCUGGCCUGGGAUAGGCUGCACCUUUUAGAGAUAAUUGUGAAUGCAUAUAUGGGUUAAAUAAUGGUGAAUAUAAAGUGCGCAAAUGGAUAAUUAAGUCUUAGGUGGGACAAGUCAAGUUUGUUAAUGAUUGUGUUGGCACAGGCUAAUUAGAGUGUCAUAAUUGUAAUCACUAGCCAAUUAGUCAUUGUGUAUUAUUAUAUACAAUUACUGGAUUAGCACAUUAUUAUGUGUGUAAUUUCUCUUUUUGUAUAAAUUAUACAACCAUUCAAAUGUCAAUAAAAACUAAAAACAGUACUUUGGAGAAAGUGAAAAGAAUUAAACAUGCUUGUGCUUGUGAUGUCAAAGUAUCAACAGCAAAAAUAUUUGUGAUUGGCCUUAGAAUUUUGAGAAUAUCUUUUAAUCCUUCAAUUAGAAGCUGUUGGCUGAUGAUCUAGUUUGUGUGAAUUUCCUUUGACCAUCAAAAUAAAAUAAAAUAAAAAUGAUAAAACUAGGAAUUUUCUGUUUAUUGAAGGAAAUACAAAAAUCGGAACAUUCAUAAUUUGUUUUGGAAUAAAUGAGUAAGUCCAUAAAAUGCAUAAUUCCUCACACAACAAGUAGGUCAAAACAGUACUUGUAAAGAGUACUCAGUCCUCCGGCAAUAAAAAGCGAGUACUUUUUAUACCCCCGAGUAUAGGUCAACUCGUGCUUCACUAACGACCGAGUAGCGCUCUCGAUGUAGACGAUUCACUUUGCUUUUUAUGCAUAUUAGUUCAUUAAUAGAGUUAUUUAAUUGCAGUGUUUUGCGAGGUGUUUUUUUUCCCUGGCGCUGGCAGAUGGUCGGCCAUAUGGAGACAAGCGUGUGACUACCUGAAGAAACGGCUCGCUUUUAUUUUUUUUCCUCAAGCAGCCGGCCACCAACCCAGCCAUGCA